UACGUAGGGGGCAAGCGUUGUCCGGAAUUAUUGGGCGUAAAGAGCGUGUAGGCGGUCCGGUAAGUCAGCUGUGAAAGUCAAGGGCUCAACCCUUGAAUGCCGGUUGAUACUGUCGGGCUAGAGUCCGGAAGAGGCGAGUGGAAUUCCCGGUGUAGCGGUGGAAUGCGUAGAGAUCGGGAAGAACAUCAGUGGCGAAGGCGGUCUGCUGGGCCGUUGCUGACGCUGAGGCGCGACAGCGUGGGGAGCAAACAGG
rnacentral:rRNA from 1 species